AAUAGAUACCCGGGUAGUCCACGCCGUAAACGUUGGGCGCUAGAUGUGGGGACCUUUCCACGGUUUCCGUGUCGUAGCUAACGCAUUAAGCGCCCCGCCUGGAGAGUACGGCCGCAAGGCUAAAACUCAAAGGAAUUGACGGGGGCCCGCACAAGCGGCGGAGCAUGCGGAUUAAUUCGAUGCAACGCGAAGAACCUUACCAAGGCUUGACAUACACGAGAACGGGCCAGAAAUGGUCAACUCUUUGGACACUCGUGAACAGGUGGUGCAUGGUUGUCGUCAGCUCGUGUCGUGAGAUGUUGGGUUAAGUCCCGCAACGAGCGCAACCCUCGUCGCAUGUUGCCAGCACGUUAUGGUGGGGACUCAUGUGAGACUGCCGGGGUCAACUCGGAGGAAGGUGGGGAUGACGUCAAAUCAUCAUGCCCCUUAUGUCUUGGGCUUCACGCAUGCUACAAUGGCCGGUACAAAGGGCUGCGAUGUCGUAAGGCGGAGCGAAUCCCAAAAAGCCGGUCUCAGUUCGGAUUGAGGUCUGCUAACG
rnacentral:rRNA from 1 species